GGGGAAUAUUGCACAAUGGGCGAAAGCCUGAUGCAGCAACGCCGCGUGAGCGAUGAAGGCCUUCGGGUCGUAAAGCUCUGUCCUCAAGGAAGAUAAUGACGGUACUUGAGGAGGAAGCCCCGGCUAACUACGUGCCAGCAGCCGCGGUAAUACGUAGGGGGCUAGCGUUAUCCGGAAUUACUGGGCGUAAAGGGUGCGUAGGUGGUUUCUUAAGUCAGAGGUGAAAGGCUACGGCUCAACCGUAGUAAGCCUUUGAAACUGGGAAACUUGAGUGCAGGAGAGGAGAGUGGAAUUCCUAGUGUAGCGGUGAAAUGCGUAGAUAUUAGGAGGAACACCAGUUGCGAAGGCGGCUCUCUGGACUGUAACUGACACUGAGGCACGAAAGCGUGGGGAGCAAAC
rnacentral:rRNA from 1 species